UCACUGUGGAUCUAUGGAGAAGAGUAAUGCAUUGGCUACAGGAACAAGACACACCUAGUGGCAGUUGGAACCAGAGGAUGCAAUGGUUGAUUGCAAAAGCCAAGGGACGUACAUGUCGUGCAUCCAUUUUCAAAAUGGUUGCAGCUGAAGUCGCAUAUGCUAUCUGGCUGGAAAGGAAUGCAAGAGUUUUCAACAAGACUUUUCGAUGUAAUACUGCUAUACCGAGAGACAUAGUGUACAACUGUAAUAUUAGAGGCACCCCUAGAAUUAGACAACUAUACAGCAUCUUAGUAUAUAGUAGAAGCUAGACAGUUAGGCCAGCAAAUGUAGUUACUAUGUUAGCAAUUAGACAGUCGGCUAAGUUGACGCUCGACUGUGGUUUUGUUAUGCAACUUCAUUGGUGAUUAAUGAAAAAGAUUAAUUACCAAAAAAAAAUUAUGAACAACAAACUAAAUAAAUAAUAUUUAUCUAUUAUUGAACCACAUGAAAACAUAAUAUUAACAAUACAAUUUAUUUAUCAAAUUUAAAUAUUUUUUUUUGUCUCAAAGCUAAUCAAUCAACCGAGUAUAAAUAAGAUACACAUUUAAAUACCAACAUAACACAAAUUAACAUUGAAACAGAUUAAAUAUUACAAAUAUGCAUGUAUUAUACGAGUGUUGACAUAAACAAAAUCGAAAUACCUCGAUUUAGGUUUUUUGAAUUUGAUUGAAAUUGAAUUUUUGCACCGAAAGAAGGAAAGCAAAGCUUGUCUUGUGUGUGGGACCUACACUCCUUGCUUUUUAGAAGACGGGUGAGGCCCAAUUUUUUUUUAAAUUUUUGCGAGGGGGGAGGGGGAGAGGGGGGAACAAACAGAAGUUUUUUGUUUUUUAAUAAGGGGAGAGGCAGCGAUUGUGUUGGGGAAGAAGAAGUAUAUUUUAUGGGCAAUUCGUAGUAUAGUACUGUGAAUUAGCAAUUCACAGCAUAGUACUACGAAUUGCUGGGCGCUAAAAACGGAGAGCCUCAAUUCGCAGUACUCUAAUGCAAAUUAUUAAAAAAAAUUAUAAUUCGCAGUAUAGUACUGCGAAUUAGUAAUUUUUUUAUUAUUCGGAUUACUAUACUACGAAUUACUUAACGGUAAAAUUUUCGUUAAAAUAAUUCACUGUAUAGUACUGCGAAUUAUGUAUUUAGGUAACUUUUUUUAGUAGUAAAAACGUAUUAUUUGUCCAAAAAAUUAUUAGAAAAGUUUCGGAUUCAUCUACCGUUGUUUGGGACAUCAUCAUCAUCAUCUUCCAAAUUGAUUGGAGCAACUGAGGCAUACGAGGAGGAGGGCUCAGAAUCUUGACUACCCUUUUUCGAACUUUUAGAAGAACUGGCAGCAGAAGAUGACUCAUCUACCUGGUAGAAUCUACCCGGGACUUUUUGUGAUUGGGCUUCCGUCUAUGCUUGCAUGGAUUUACCCUCAAAAGCUUCCCUGGAUGAGAGAUACUCACUGGUCUCGGAGGGUUCAGGAGCUCUGUUGGCGGUUUUUUCUUUCUUAUGGCUCUUUGUAUUGCUAGUGGUCGGCUGCUUUUGUCUGGACCUCGGCCAUGGGAGGGUUCUACCCUUCCUUUUGAUGUAUCACCUCUUCCCGUUGAUCUAACCAUUUUAUGCAACACAUAAGUGAUAGGAAUCAGUUAGACUUGAAACUCAUAAUAUAUACAGAAACAUGCUUGAAAGUUGCAGUAAAGCAGUUUCAGAAAAGGCAGUGUGG
rnacentral:lncRNA from 1 species